GCGCGGGGUCGCGGGUAGGGGUGUGGGCUGAUGGUGGUGCCACCGAUAUUCAUGCGCUUCGUGUGUUGUGUAAACUUGACGACUGUGACUGUGCGGUGUAAGGACCUCACCCGAGGGAACUACCCGCGCCGGUCACUGCAGACUGAAAACUGAACAAGUGACACAUUACAUACUCACAAUUACUGACGAAAAUUUACGGCCUAUUUAUUCUGGAUUGAACAAAACCACCAAAAAAUAUAUCUUUUUGUAUCUUCA